rnacentral:piRNA from 1 species
UGGCCCAGGAGGCCUCAAGGGCCCGGUGUU